AUGAUGUUGUGGAUGAAUGAAGCUCUAACUCAGUUCUUGAAACAAACUCUGUGAUUGAUGUACAGGAAACUGACACAUAAACUCCAGUUGGUCUCAUUUCAGAAUCUCAUUGUUGCCUAUGAAGUGAUCAAGGCUUCCAUUUUGCAUGUAAUCAUAAACCAAGAGAAGAUUCUUGCCUUCAUUGCACCAUCCUUGGAGUUGUACUAAGUUUUUGUGUCGAAGACGUCCUAUGGUACAUAUUUCAGCUAAGAACUCUCUUUCACCUGUUUAUAUAACCAAAGAAACAAGGGAGAACAAAAUGGUCAAAAAUUGUCACAAAUAAGGAGCAUGUGAUUGAGUAUGUUUAAGAGCAAAAACAAUGAAAGAAUGGACAAAUUCUUUCAACACAAGUUUCAAUUAAGCAUGAUUAGCUUCAUUGCAAAUUUAGAGACUUCAUCAUCUAUAUCUUGUAUCCAUAUAGCAAUGUUUGGUAGAUAGUGAUAAAUAGAAUAUUACAAAACAA